CCAUUCCUUCUCCAGGGGAUCUUCCUGACCCAGGGAUUGAAUCCAAGUCUCCUGGAUUGGCAGCCAGAUUCUUUGCCACUGAGCUACCAUGAGAGACCAGUACCUAGAGGGUCCAAAUGGCUUCAUCCAGGUUUGAAAAGUCAUUCAAGAGUGUUCAAAACCAAGACUAAGAAGAAUCAACUCAUAUUGGCUGAAACGAUCUCUUGGGGAUUCUGGCUGGAUCUGAUGGAAAUACUUUAGGGUACUUCCCGACCAAUUUGGACAAUGCAGGAACUUCAGGAUAACUUUUUUAGAAGUGGAAUUACAAGCCAGAAACAUUAAAUAAAUGACAAAAUUGCAUUCCAGAAGGACUGCAGGACUUUACCUUCUCACUUCCAGCCAAGGAACUUCUCUGUUUCUCCACACUGAUGACAGUAUUGAGAAUUUUUACGUAAAACUUUUUACACUAGUAUUAUAAUAUCUUAAUUUAAAUUUGUACUUCUUUGACUACUAUUGAGAAUAAUUUAAAAUAUUUUUUUAUUUUAUGCAAGUUGUCUCUUUCCUUUUCCCUAUUCGCUUGUAAAAAUUCUUGAUAUAAAUAUUUCAACUUGUGAUCUGUCAGGUAUUUGGCAACUGUUAUCCUCAAAAAUUUUGUUUAGGAUUUUUUUUGUGAUUCAUACAUUGUUUGUUUUUCAAAGACAAAUUUGCCUACCUUUUAU